rnacentral:rRNA from 1 species
GACGAACGCUGGCGGCGUGCCUAACACAUGCAAGUCGAACGGAAAGGCCCUGCUUUUGUGGGGUGCUCGAGUGGCGAACGGGUGAGUAACACGUGAGUAACCUGCCCUUGACUUUGGGAUAACUUCAGGAAACUGGGGCUAAUACCGGAUAGGAGCUCCUGCUGCAUGGUGGGGGUUGGAAAGUUUCGGCGGUUGGGGAUGGACUCGCGGCUUAUCAGCUUGUUGGUGGGGUAGUGGCUUACCAAGGCUUUGACGGGUAGCCGGCCUGAGAGGGUGACCGGCCACAUUGGGACGGAGAUACGGCCCAGACUCCUACGGGAGGCAGCAGUGGGGAAGAUUGCACAAUGGGCGGAAGCCUGAUGCAGCAACGCCGCGUGCGGGAUGACGGCCUUCGGGUUGUAAACCGCUAUCGCCUGUGACGAAGCGUGAGUGACGGUAAUGGGUAAAGAAGCACCGGCUAACUACGUG